rnacentral:rRNA from 1 species
GACGAACGCUGGCGGCGUGCUUAACACAUGCAAGUCGAACGGAAAGGCCCUGCUUGCAGGGUACUCGAGUGGCGAACGGGUGAGUAACACGUGGGUGAUCUGCCCUGCACUUCGGGAUAAGCCUGGGAAACGGGGUCUAAUACGGGAAAGGAGCCAUUUUUAGUGUGAUGGUUGGAAAGUUUUUUCGGUGUAGGAUGAGCUCGCGGCCUAUCAGCUUGUUGGUGGGGUAAUGGCCUACCAAGGCGGCGACGGGUAGCCGGCCUGAGAGGGUGGACGGCCACAUUGGGACUGAGAUACGGCCCAGACGCCUACGGGAGGCAGCAGUGGGGAAUAUUGCACAAUGGGCGCAAGCCUGAUGCAGCGACGCCGCGUGGGGGAUGACGGCCUUCGGGUUGUAAACUCCUUUCGCUAGGGACGAAGCUUUUUGUGACGGUACCUAGAUAAGAAGCACCGGCUAACUACGUG